rnacentral:rRNA from 1 species
UACGUAGGGGGCAAGCGUUGUCCGGAAUCAUUGGGCGUAAAGAGCGCGUAGGCGGUCCGGUAAGUCGGUUGUGAAAACUGGGGGCUCAACCCUCAGAGGCCGACCGAUACUGUCGGGCUAGAGUCCGGAAGAGGCGAGUGGAAUUCCUGGUGUAGCGGUGAAAUGCGCAGAUAUCAGGAGGAACACCAAUGGCGAAGGCAGCUCGCUGGGACGGUACUGAUGCUGAGGCGCGAAAGCGUGGGGAGCAAACAGG